GACGAACGCUGGCGGCGUGCCUAAUACAUGCAAGUCGAACGCUUCUUUCCUCCCGAGUGCUUGCACUCAAUUGGAAAGAGGAGUGGCGGACGGGUGAGUAACACGUGGGUAACCUACCCAUCAGAGGGGGAUAACACUUGGAAACAGGUGCUAAUACCGCAUAACAGUUUAUGCCGCAUGGCAUAAGAGUGAAAGGCGCUUUCGGGUGUCGCUGAUGGAUGGACCCGCGGUGCAUUAGCUAGUUGGUGAGGUAACGGCUCACCAAGGCCACGAUGCAUAGCCGACCUGAGAGGGUGAUCGGCCACACUGGGACUGAGACACGGCCCAGACUCCUACGGGAGGCAGCAGUAGGGAAUCUUCGGCAAUGGACGAAAGUCUGACCGAGCAACGCCGCGUGAGUGAAGAAGGUUUUCGGAUCGUAAAACUCUGUUGUUAGAGAAGAACAAGGACGUUAGUAACUGAACGUCCCCUGUCGGUAUCUAACCAGAAAGCCACGGCUAACUACGUG
rnacentral:rRNA from 1 species